GAUGAAGAACGCAGCGAAAUGCGAUAAGUAGUGUCAAUUGCAGAAUUCAGUGAAUCAUCGAAUCUUUGAACGCACAUUGCGCCCGCCAGUAUUCUGGCGGGCAUGCCUGUUCGAGCGUCAUUUCAACCAUCAAGCCCCAGGCUUGUGUUGGGGACCUGCGGCUGCCGCAGGCCCUGAAAACCAGUGGCGGGCUCGCUGUCACACCGGGCGUAGUAGAUUUUAUCUCGCUCAGGGCGUGCUGCGGGUUCCGGCCGUUAAAAAGCCUUUUUUACCCAAGGUUGACCUCGGAUCAGGUAGGAAGACCCGCUGAACUUAAGCAUAUCAAUAAGCGGAGGA
rnacentral:misc_RNA from 1 species